rnacentral:piRNA from 1 species
UAGAACAAAUGGUGUACUUGUAUUUA